GGGUGCUCCCCAAAGGGGAUUAUUUGUGCAGGCCACCUUUGUGGAAACCUGUCCUUGGUCAUUGAGGAAUUGUAGCUUGGCAUGGCUUUAAAUGUAUAUUUAAAAGCCUCUGCUUCUGCUAGUUCAGCAAGUUGGUUUUUUUUUUGGAUGGAGUGUGUCAAAAUGAAUCAUUCAUGGAUGUCUUGGCAGUCCUGCCACUGCUGAUGAGAGUGAAUGUGCUGAGCUUUAGCCAGCAGCAAAUAUUUGCAGGUGGAUGCAAUAUCUGGAACAGCCUUAGGCAACACUCAUUUCCCAGUCCUACAAGACAGAUCUACGCAGGUGCAUACAGGAAAUCAGCAAAGUACCCUGCCUCACCUGUCUCUACCAGGAUUUGCUUCUGCUCACAAACUGCACCAAAAAUGAGAACUGCACGGGGAGAAAAGCUUCCUUUAUACAACUUCCUGUAUUUUGUGAAUAGAGGGUUCAUUUUUGGUCAUGAAUGGGUUAUAAAUCAGACAAAAGCAGGGUUGUGGGGUCUUGUCGCUUUCUUCUCUAAGUGAAUUGGCUAAUUCUUGGUGGGUUUGUGGAUAGGAAAGGCAUUCCUUACAUCAGGCACAGAUGGGGAAAGGGUUCUUGUGUGGUGGGAUAGACAUUUACCUCUAGACACAGGGCAGCCUGUGGUAAACCACUUGAGUGCUUGGGAAAAGGGAGUGGGGUGUGAGUGAGGCUGCACAAAACCUUGGCAGGCAUUUAGUGGGACAGUGAAUAUCACCCUGGAUAUGUGCUAUGGAGCAAGUCUCAGUUCUGAAGCCACUACUCACAGCAAGUGUGGCAGCAAGAGGCAUUGGAAUGCUUGGGAGCUUUUGAAGGGAUGGCACAUGAAUGUGCAGAUCCUGCUAAAGGUAACAGCCAUUAUAGUGAAAAGGUACAAAAAUCAGCUAAAAUGUCUGCCUUGGAAAUGGCUUCCAUCAGGCUGUUCAAGGCCCCAGAUAGUGUGUGUCAAACAAAACUGAAACAAACCUGUUUGUUGCCUUUGCACAGCAAAUACUGCUUUUUUUUUUUUCUGACCAACAAACCCCACAGUUUGUUUCUGGAUGUCCUUUAGGGCUGUGACUGGUCUUGUGAGCAGUCUGUGGUUUGUAUGUAUUGGGUGGUGUUUGGAGGGCUCAAUUAGAGAUGUUCCUGUCCCUGCUUUGAUGCAGCAAAGAGAGCUAAACCACUGCGUGUGGUGUGGGUACAGCUGAGGAGGGCAAGUGUAUGACAGGCUGCUUGAACCUGAGCUUUGUCAUGUCCAUCUCUGUGGAAGCAGAAGCAAGGUUUCUGAAGAAAAGGAAGUAGGUUUUUGGGGGAGGAUGAUGAGAAAACACAGAGUGUACAUGAGUAGCAAGAUUGCUGCAGCCUUUGUAAGCUGACAGCGUGCCUCAGCUGUUGAAGCAGUGCCCAAGCAUUUGCUGUUGCAUUACUUAGAGCUGGACCUAUUCCCUCUGACAUGAAACCAGCCAGUCCACCUCCUUGUUCUUAAUUAGAUCCUCUUGGGAUGAGACAUCCCUUCCUGAAAUGAGAGGGAGGCCAAAUUCACAUGCACCCACUACCCCCUGACCUCUGCACAUUUGACAGCUGUGAUAACAUGGCACCAUCCCCUCUAAUUUGGAUACUGCUUAAAUGUGGUGGAAGGCAUUUCUGGACAGCUAGUGCUGAACCUGCAGGCUCUCUCUACGUGAGAUCACCACCUGUGUGCUGCUUGUGAAGAGGUGAUGAUGAUCAGUGUCUGCUGAUGGUCAAUCCAUGAUGAUCUGAGAGCUUAAGAGGAGUGAGCCUGUCUGGUUCAUCUGCUUCCCUGCACAGUAGCAAAGUCUCCAGUCUGUGAUCACCAUUAUUGAGGGGAAGAUGUGACUGGUGUUACUGUUUGCAUAUAUAUAUAUAUGUAUGUAUACACACUUCAGGAUAUUGCUCAAAGCUCCCUAGCUGGGAGUGGGGCUACCUUGCUUGCUUUGAAAAUGCAUGGGAAAGCAGUCUCUGUUCUGAAAUGCUCAAAUGUGUGUUAUUUUAAGCAUGUAUGAGUGUAAACACACAGUCUGAAUUUAGGGAUCAUUUCUGUGGCUACAUAUUCCAUCUCUGAAAACCUGGGAAGUGUUGGAAUUAACGCUGCCCGUUUGACUUUAAUAUGCCUCUUUCCAAAGGAUGGAGGCAGAGCCUAGAGUGCACACUCUUCUGCUCCCUGUCCUUGGCUGUCUGCUCAGUGCCAGCCCCCUCACAAGAAGGUGCUGUUGGAGAAGCUUCAGCUUGCCUGGAUAUAUUUUAUAUUGCCCAGUGCAGCUCACCAUACACAGCCUUGCUAAGAGGUGUGUUUGCCCCCCUUUGAUUUUUUGAUUAGCCUUCAAGCUGAGGUGAGAGCAUUGGCACAGCAAUCUGUUUUCACCCUUUCUCAGUGUUUUGAAGCGUUUUGGUUGCAACAUUUCAUAAUUAAGUAAAUAUAUAUAGGCAGAUGCUGGCGCAUAGUCCUAAAACUUUCCUUCCAAAUUGAAGCACUUGGGAUAAAGUUAUGAAGAGGGAUCUUCUGAUAGGGGACCCUGGGUAAUGUCACAUUACACCCUGUGAAUUACCAUUCAGCUUUCUUAUUUAACUAGCUGGCCUUGAUUUUCAGAGCAUCAGUGCCUGCCUCCCUGUCAUACAGAGCAGCUCUUCCUCCUGCUGCUGUGUUGCUGCAGAUGUUCACCCCCAGCCAAGCUCUGUGGUGUGGGGUGCGCAGUGUGUGAGAGCACCCUCGGGUAGAGACACUGUGCUGGUGAUGCUCUGGUGAAAUCUCCAAGCACACCUGAGGUGGGCAGCCUUGACAGAGCUGUGGCACAGCCUUUCCUAAACUCCCCCCUCUCUGGGACAAAUAAUCCUGGUGUAACUUAAAGUGGGUGAAAGCUCCACCCGUUCUGAGUUUGCUUAAUGCAAGUGUGGAUGGCCUUUCUCACAGCAUUUCUCAUACAUGUUUCUAAAUCAAGUAUAUCCCGUUUUCUUAAGUCUUCUCUGUAUAUACAUAAUUACAAUUUGUCAUUUUGAUUGAAAAUCUGUCCUUAAUGGUCCUGUCUUUUACAUGGUUCCCUGUAAUAUAUUACUUUAGAAACAUAGCUAUUUUCAUAUUUUAGCAUUUUUAUCAAUAUGGAAAUUCUGAACAUGAUUUCUCUAUGAAAAAAAGUCUUAAAAAGUCUACUGCUAGAAUUCAGCCCUGUUCUUUACAACUUUUUAUC
ensembl:lncRNA